UACGGAGGGUGCGAACGUUAAUCGGAAUCACUGGGCGUAAAGCGCGCGUAGGCGGUUUGUUAAGUGGGAUGUGAAAGCCCCGGGCUCAACCUGGGAAUGGCAUUGGAAACUGGCUCGCUGGAGUAUGGCAGAGGGGGGUGGAAUUCCGCGUGUAGCAGUGAAAUGCGUAGAGAUGCGGAGGAACACCGAUGGCGAAGGCAGCCCCCUGGGCCAAUACUGACGCUCAGGCACGAAAGCGUGGGGAGCAAACAGG
rnacentral:rRNA from 1 species